CCUACGGGGGGCUGCAGUGGGGAAUAUUGGACAAUGGGGGGAACCCUGAUCCAGCGACGCCGCGUGAGUGAAGAAGUAUUUCGGUAUGUAAAGCUCUAUCAGCAGGGAAGAAAGAAAUGACGGUACCUGACUAAGAAGCCCCGGCUAACUACGUGCCAGCAGCCGCGGUAAUACGUAGGGGGCAAGCGUUAUCCGGAUUUACUGGGUGUAAAGGGAGCGUAGACGGCGAUGCAAGUCUGAAGUGAAAGGCGGGGGCCCAACCCCCGGACUGCUUUGGAAACUGUAUGGCUGGAUGGCAGGAGAGGAAAGUGGAAGUCCUAGUGUAGCGGUGAAAUGCGUAGAGAUUAGGAGGAACACCAGUGGCGAAGGCGGCUUACUGGACUGUAACUGACGUUGAGGCUCGAAAGCGUGGGGAGCAAACAGGAUUAGAUACCCCGGUAGUC
rnacentral:rRNA from 1 species